GAGUUUACAAAGCUGGAUUAAAAUAAAAUACAAUAUCUCUUUGAAAUGUAAAUGAAAAGAAUUCAAAAUGCUACCAAGGACAAGUGAUAGCCAUAGCUGGAAUGUAGGUACAUCUUCAGAUCCAGCUCCCGCCGUAUGCAGCAACACCAAUAUCUAACAUCUGCAUACAAGGUGCAGAAGUGUAGUAUGAGUACAACUGACCCCAUUAAUCAAUACGUAACAAACGUAACCUUAGGUUAAAAGUAGUUAUGAUAUGGGAAAUGCCAGAGUUUAACUCCAAUAUCCAACAACAGUUUAUAACAACAUAAUUAAAUAGUGCAAAAAAAAUAACUCAGAGGUAUGAUGAUCAACUCAUUCACAGUUGCUGAAAAUUGGCACGUUUUAAAAAAAAUGUCAGUAAAACUCAAUUCCUUUCACCAAAUCACCAGAGAUAUGAGUAACUCCGAAAAUUAUGAUUUUCCCAAAAUCCUUUCAUCAAUAAUUAAGAUAUUUCAUUAUCAAAUAGUGUGAGGAAAGUACAUCUUUAUACCUGCAUCUCGAUAUGCAAGUGAAGAAUGUCACCAAUAUUGGGUAUCAUAGGAAAUGCAUCUUUAUGUCUGUAUCUCAAGUACACAUGUCAAGUGCAAUGCAUCUCAGUGAUAAACUCAUGUACUAACACUCUCGGAGUACUCAAUCUCACUGUCUCGUAUCCUCACUCAUAAUGCUCAAUACUCAACACACUCAGUCACAUAGUAUUGUACAUGGCAGAUCAAGCCCAAACAUAAAUAAACUGAGAGCAGAUCAAGCCUAAACAUAAAUAAAUCCAGGGCAGAUUCAGCCCAAUAUAAAUAACUGCUAGCAUUGCUCCAACAAUAGAUGUGUAGACCCGGAGGGACCGAUCUAGCGCAAGCACUAUAGUAAGCCAAAUACUAGCAUGAAUCAAUAUAGCAUCUUACGACGUGUAGCCCGAUCCUAUAAAUAGCACUUACACCGGGCCUCAACCUCACUUAGUCAUCGAUCUCUCCAGUCUCUUGGGCUCACACUACUUAUGCUAAGCAACCUUAAUCAAUAAUAUGAGAUGUAACAAUAUACAAUAACAAAGACUGAGAUAUGAUACUUAACAUAACUACAAUAAAAGCAAAUAACUCAAAAGCAAAGAACGACCAUUGUGGGUCUCAAUAGUACCAACAUAUAGCCUCAACAUGAUUUUUAGCAUAAAUAACAACUCAAGUGCUCUAACACAUAGAGUAUAGUAAAAUGUUCAAAUAAGAUAGCUACACAGUUCCAUGGAAUUGACUAAAUCACAUUUCACAUGGUGCAAGGCCACACACCCGUCACCUAGCAUGCGCGUCACCUCAACAUCAAUCAGAUAACACGUAAUUCAGGGUUUCUUAACCUCAACACCAAGUUUAGAAGUAUUACUUACCUCGAACAUGCUAAAUCCAAUACCAAACAGGCCAUACUCCAAAAAAUACCAUCUCACGCAUAACGACAUCUGCACGGCUCGAAACUAGCCAAAAGCAACUUAAAUACAUCAAAUAAUGUCUAAGAAAAUAAUUCUAAAUGAUAAAGGUUGAAUCUUUAAUCAAAAGACCAAAACUGACUCAAAAGUUAAACCCGACCCCUCGCCUCAGAAUUCGAUGAAACUUAUAAAAUCUGAUAACUUAUUCAAUUAUUAGUCCAACCAUACUAGUUUCACUCAAAUGCGACCUCGAAUCGAUGUCCAAAACUCAAAAGUUCGCUCUAUGAAACUUUAGACAAAACCCCCAAUUUUUCUCUUGAAAUCCUCAAUUAAAUGCCAAAGAUGAAGAUAGAUUCAUGAAAUAAAAUUAAAACCGAGUAGAGAACGCUUACUCCAAUCAGUUUAAUGAAAAUCGCCUAAAAAUAGCUAUAUCCCAAAGUCCCAAAUCAAAAUAUGGAUAAACGUAUCAAAGAUCUGAAAUUGGAUAUUAAAUUCACUGCCCAAGCUUCCUUCUUCGCCAUUACGUACACCCCUUCACUAUCGCGAUGAACAAAUUCUUCAACAGCGAUUUCUAAACUCUUCCCAGAUAGCCUCUAGUAUAAUGGUUAUAAGGCUUUAUGCUAACUCAAAAUGACAAAUAGUUUAAUUUUAUGAAAACUAGACAUCAACGGCUACAACUUUCAUUAUUCAAUCAUCUCCAAAUUCCUUAUAGAUUGAAAGAUAUAAGCUUCCAAAGUUAGCCCUAUGCAUCAGAAAUUUCUCCUAUGCGAUCGCCAGAAGGCUUUUGUGAUCGCUAUUCACAAGACCACAAACUAUAGUUUGCUCUUUGUGAACAAUUCCAAAUGUUCUCUAUCGCGAUGCACACCUUGUAGCGAAAAAUUAGUAACUGAAAAUGUCCUAAAAAUGGUCUGAAAUCACCCCGAAACUCACCCGAGCCCUCGGGGCUCCACACCAAACUUCCACAUAAGUCAAGAAAUAUUAUACGAACUUGAUCGCACAAUCAAAUCACCCAAAAUAACCCCUGAAACCAUGAAUUGGACAUCAACGCGCAUGGAAUUUGAAGGGAGAACUCAAGAACUUCUUGAAUUGUAACCAAGCAUCUGAAUGCUAUCAAACCAACUCCGAACGACCCCGAAUUUUGCAGGCAAGUUCCAAAUCAGAAUACAAACCUACUCGAUGUUUCAAAUCUCACUUAACAAUAUCAAAAUCAUAAAUCUCACCUCAAAUCGACUUAAUAAAGUUAAUGAACUUUCAAAAUUCAAAACUAACGGAGAACAAACGUAAACACCUCAGAUUAAUCUCAAAUUUGGCACACAAGUCAUAAAUGGCAUAACAUACCUACUAUAACUUCCAGAAUCAAAAUGCAAUCCCGAUAUCAAUUAAGUCAAACCACGGUCAAACCUAUGGACAUCCCCAAACCUACAAAUUUCCAACUUUCACCAAUUAGUGCGGAAUCCUUCUAGAAAUAUCCAAAUGCAAAUGCCAGCAUACGCACGAGUCCAAAAUUAUCAUCCGAACAUAACAGAACCAUCAAAUCUCUGUUCCGAUGUCAAAUAUACAAAAGUCAAAUUUGGUCAACUCUUCCAACUUGAAGCUUCAAACAUGAAAUUCAUUCUUCAUAUCACUUCCAAAUAACCUAAAAACUAAAAUCGAUAAUUCACACAAGUUACAGUACAUCAUAUGGAACUACUCAUGCCCUCAACCUACCGAGCGAAGUAGAAAUUUUUUAAAAUGUUCGGUGAGACGGUUACACUAAGGUUUGAAGUAGUUUUAACCAAAGGUUUAAAUUUAUAAAAUGUAUCCACAAUAUUAGUUAUAUUGGAUUUAUCUUUAUCACCUUGAGAAUUUGUUGUGGAAAACUCUAUACAUGUAGUUGCAUUUACUGAAUACACAAACUCUUUCCAUCCACGCUGGAUUUGGAUCAUGGGAGAAAUGUCAAGCCUGCUGAAUUUACCAUACUUGAUAACCUGUAUAAGAAAUUCGUUAAAUAUUGAAUUCAUUUACUAUUGAAUUUCAUUUAAGUUUAUGGACCCAUAAAUCAAAUCCUAAAUCCACCUCUAUCUACGGAGAAUUUUUAUACAAGUAGCCAAUUAAAUUUAUUGUUUACUUUUCUAGUCAAAUACAUAUACUAUACACUGAUUAUGUACAAUUAUAUAUACACAUAUUAAAUAUAAAAUACAAAUGUAUUAUAUCUCCGCCGGUUAUUUUUAGUUUAAUCAAUUGACGGAGCGGCUAAUUGGGUUAAUUUUCAUGUUUUUAAAGCUUGAAUUUGGUGAAGGAAUUCAUUGAUAUGUAAGUGAAAAACUCAGAUUUAAUUUUUCACCCAUAAAAUUCGAGUAAAUGGCGUUUUAAUUAGCUGGUGAAUGUGUUGCAAAUUGCUAAUGGACACUGCAUCAUAUGAUUAGUAUGAUCUCUAUACCUUUCUUUUAAAGAAUUAACAUGCAUGCAUUUGCUAGCAGACGGAGAAAGAUGUAAAUAAUCAUGUGAUUAAUAUUUAUGGAAUAUGAGUACGAUCACAUCAUCAAGUGAGACUACGUUUAACUACAAUCCAUGUCACUUUUCUACAUAAGUUAUUCAAAUUAAUAUUGUAUAUAAAAAAGAAAAGGAGACUUAAUCUAAUAAGCUAGUGAUCUUCUUAGAGUAGUGCAGACCUCAGCUGAAAUAAAGUUUCAACUAGUAUAAAAACCUAUAUAUUUCUAAGAAAAAGAUUAGGACUAAUUAAAACCAAGGUUCCUACUUCUUCACCAUGUAUGGAUUAGCUGUUGUGUGAGUUUGACAAAUCAUGCUAUGUCUACGCUAGAUCUUCCAUUGUCAAGAUUAUCUCAAUUGAAUUCAUGCUGCCGGAGCAUAGUCAUAGUCUCCAUCAUCGUCGUCCCCACCUCCUUCUAAGCAUGCUGCGGGAGCAUAAUCAUACCCGUCAUCUCCAUCAUCAUCUUCAUCUAAACACGAUGUUCUCUUCUCGAACCCAAUAACCUUGAAAAUGCAAGACAUUGUAUCUUUCUUCGGACUAUAGAAAAAGAUUGAAAUAUGAGAUAUUGUGUGUGGUACCUAGCUCUUUGAUUAGAUAUGAAGAUCAAUGGUUUUGUGGUGUGUAUGAUUGGUGAGGAAACCAAUUGCUGAUAUAAAGGCACAAGCCAAUUCUGGACUCUUUUGAACGCAAGUUGGCACGUUAAGAAGUGUG
rnacentral:lncRNA from 1 species